rnacentral:rRNA from 1 species
UAGAUCCUUAAAGCGGCGGACUGGUGAGUAACGCGUGGGUGAUCUACCUUGAGGAUGGGGAUAGCUGUUAGAAAUAGCAGGUAAUACCGAAUACGAUCGCUGAACUAUGGUUUGGUGAUGAAAGGCGCUAAGGCGCCGUCUUGAGAUGAGCCCGCGUCCCAUUAGCUAGUUGGUGGUGUAAAUGACUACCAAGGCGAAGAUGGGUAGCCUGGCCUGAGAGGGUGAACGGCCACAUUGGGACUGAGAUACGGCCCAAACUCCUACGGGAGGCAGCAGCUAAGAAUAUUCCACAAUGGACGAAAGUCUGAUGGAGCGACGCCGCGUGGAUGAGGAAGGCCGAAAGGUUGUACAAAUCCUUUUGCCGAUGAAGAAUAAGUGCGGGAGGGAAUGCCCGCAUGAUGACGUUAGUCGGCGAAUAAGCCCCGGCUAAUUAC